AUUGGCUAUGCGCUUUGGCAGUGUGGUUAGCUGGUUGUGUAGCCAAAAUAUUGCCUUUGACCAUUCACAGCCACUAUCUUCACUGCCGCCGCGACAAGCCAUAA
rnacentral:pre_miRNA from 15 species